rnacentral:lncRNA from 1 species
CUCCGAAGUAAUUAAAACAGGAAAGUCCCUAAUCAAAUGGCAAUAUCAAAUUCUCAAACACAUCAAACACGUCAAACGAAUAGUGGUUUGUUAUCGACAUUUUAAAACUUUAGAUAUAAGUUUAAAAGAAUUCAUGAUCAAAUAGACUGUCCAAAGGGAGUUAUAAAAAAGUAGGAAAUGAAAAAAAAAAACACAAUUUGUAUAAAGCCUUGUAGAAAAACGCAUAUACAGAGUUUCAACUCUCUUUCUUUUUAAUCUCAAUUAGUACCAAUAACUAUAUAAAAAAAGUUACAUUGUAGAUUGUACAAUAAAAUGCAGUACAACAAAACCCUCAACUCGAUAAAAGAAAGAGGCGAAAGUCAAAGACACAUUCAAACUCAUCAGUCGAAAAUAAAGUGACAACGCCAGGGCUAACAAAAGAAUGACAAAGACAAACAGACUAACAAGUGGUUAUUAUAAU